AUGAGGGCGCAGGCUCCUGCAGACUGGAGCCCAACAGAAUUGCAGGCCAGAUGGCCAGUGCCAGCCCUGCCCUGCCCAGGGUCACUUGAAGGACCAGAUGGUGGCUCCAUUCGCCAGACAGCAACACUGUGUCCACUUCGGUGGGGACUUGGGGGCUGUCUGCCGCCCCUCCCAACACCCAGAGUGUUUUUAAGCCUGUGGGCCAGGCUGGGAGAGGCUGCGGCUUCUGAGCUGUUGGUUGGCAGGACCUGGUGGCCCACGGCAAGGGAGGGGUGGGCUCGAGGUCGGGGGGGUUCCUGGGGGGGCAGAGGGGUUCAGAAAGCCCUUUGGCCAGCCCGGGUGUCGGGGAGGGGAGGGGGGCGAGGACGGGGGGCAGGAGGGGCCCAACAGGAAGAACUGGGGUGUGGGGGCCGAGCUAGGCUUCCUGUGGGGAACACAGGGCUGUGGAGGGUCGAGAACGAGGUCAGACGCUACGGCCUCCGUCCAUUCGUUCUGAAGACCACCCAUCAAUCAUGCACAGGGCACACAGCCACCGCGACCACCUUGUCUUCUGGUGUCCAGCACCAGCCCCAGAGCUCAGCCUGUUCCAGCCACCAACCCACAAAGCCCUGAACCCACCUCCAGUAGCUGCUCAUGAAACCCAGCUGGUGUCACCUCCAGAACCAGAGUCUUCCUUCCUCACCUGUGAGGGUAUCCUUUUUCUGCUUUUUCAUUGCACAUACUCUAUGGUUUCUUCAUGGUGCUUUGUGAGUUAACUUUCAAGUAAAAGUUCAUCUUUUCCAACAUAUUUAACUGCAUGAUUUGGUGGCACUAACUACAUUCACCAUGCUGUGCACCACCACCAUUCUCUAGUUCCCUAACGUUUUCAUCACCCCCAAAAGAAACCCUGUAGCCAUGUAGCACUCACUUGCUGUUGCCCACUCCCCCUCUUCCACGGCACCCCCCACCCACCAGUGUACAAGAAUCCCAAUUCAUCAACAUCCUCACCAUCUGUUACUGUUCACUGCAUGACAGCUGUCCCAGUGGGUGUGAAGCAGUGUGUCCCUGUGGCACUGGCCUGCAUUUCUCUAACACCUGGUGAUGCUGAUCAUCCUUCCAUGAGCUUCACGGGCCAUCUGUGUAUCUUCUUUGGAGAAAUGUCUAUUAUUUGCAAUGAUGCUGUGUCUAUGCUCUUGUGUAAAAGUCCUUUAUGUAUUCUGGAUAUAAGACCUUUAGAAGAUUUAUUAUUUGCCAAUAUUUUAAACCAUUAUUUGGGUCUUCUUUAUAGUCUUUUGAGAUUGCCCUUUCAUUCACAAAAGGUUUUCAUUUUGAUAAAGUCCAAUUUUUCUGUUUUUUUUUUUUUUUUGGUCUCUUGUAUAAUAGCCAUUCUAUUAAAUAUCACAUCAAGGGUAUGAGAUUUAUCCCUAUGUUUUCUUCUAAGAUGGUUCCAUUUUAGGUCUUAAAUUUAGGUCCUUGUUCCAUAAUUAGUUUUUCUUUCAUGUGAGGUAAGGCUCCACCCUCGUUCUGUGGCAUGUGGGCAUUCGGUUUCCCCAGACCAUUUGCUGAAAAGACUUUUUCUCUUAUGAAUGAUCUUGAUAUACAAGUUCAAAAUCAAUUGCCUGGAUUUAUUUCUCAAUUCUAUUGAUAUGAAAGUGAAAGUGUUAGUUGCCCCAUCAUGUCAGAUUCUUUGCAACCCCAGGGACUGUAGCCCACCAGUGUCUUCUGCCCACGCCAUUCUCCAGGUAAUAAUACUGGCGUGGGUUGCCAUUCCUUAUCCAGGGGAUCUUCCUGACUCAGGGAUUGAACCCAGGACUCCCACAUUGCAAACGAAUUUUAUACCGUCUAAGCAAGACAUAUAUCUAUUUCCAUAUCAGAUUUCCAUUACCAUUUUGAAAUGAAAAGCAAAAGUGGGCAUCACUGACUUACUCCCAUCCUUAGGGAGAGAACUUUCAGCCUUUCUCCCGAGUAUGAUGUAUGUGUUUUUCUCAAAUAUCCUAAAUCAUGUGAAGGAAAUGCUCUUCUAUUUCUACUUUAUUGAGAGCAGCUAUUAAAAAAAAAAAAAGCUUGUGUUUAUUCAAAGUUCUAAAUGCUUUUUCUACAUCAGUUGAGAUGACCACGUGCUUUUAUUGAGGUGGUGUAUGACACCGAUUAACUGUGCUGAACAGCCCUGCUCAUUCCUGAGAUAGACAGCACUGGAGAUGACUAUACAGUUCCUUCAAUAUGCUGCUGGGUUCUGCCUGCCCGCCUUUUGCUGAAGAUUUUUGCAUCUUUCUAAUGGAUUUUCGGCCUACAGAUGUCUUUUCUUAUGGCAUCUUUCAGUUCAGUUCAGUCGCUCAGUCACGUCUGACUCUUUGCGACCCCAUGAACUGCAGCCCACCAGGCUUCCCUGUCCAUCGCCAACUCCUGGAGCUUGCUCAAACUCAUGUCUGCCGAGUCCAUGUUGCCAUCCAACAUCCCAUUCUCUGUUGUCCCCUUCUCCUCCCACCUUCAAUCUUUCCCAGUAUCAGGGUCUUUUCCAAUGAGUCAGUUCUUCACAUCAGAUGGCCAAAGUCUUGGAGAUUCAGCUUCAGCAUCAGUCCUUCCAAUGAACAUUCAGGACUGAUUUCCUUUAGGAUGGACUGGUUGGAUCUCCUUGCAGUCCGAGGGACUCUCAAGAAUCUUCUCCAACACCACAGUUCAAAAACAUCCAUUUUUCAGUACUCAGCUUUCUUUAUGGUCCUACUCUCUUUACAGAAUCUUUGAAGUUAUGUUAAUGUCAUCACAAAAUGAGUUUAAAAGUGUUUGCUUGUUCUGUACUUUUUGAAGAAUUUAGGAUCUGUUUUCUAUCUUUAAGUAUCUGAGACAAAACACCAAUGAAGGCAUCAGGUUCUGGGUUUUUCCCUGUUGGGUUCUUAUUACUGCUUCAGUUUGUUUACUUAUAAGAGGUCUACUCAGACUUUCCAUUUCUUCUUGAGUCAGUUUUGCUAGCUUGUGUGUUUCUAGGAAUUCAUCCAUUUCAUUUAGGUUAAGCAACUUGUUGACAUACAAUUGUCCCAUGUUGUCCAUAUUUUAAAUCUUUAAAAGAAAGAACUAUUGGUGUCACUGAUUUUCUCGAGUGCUCCUCUAUUCUGUUUAUCACUGCUCUAAAUUUCAUUAUUUACUUUGUUCUGCUAACCUUGGGUUUAUUUUGCUCUUCUUUGCCUAUCUAAUCAAGGGCAUCAUCUCACCAGCCCCCGACAACAGCCAGGGCCUCUCUCCAGAUAUGCGUUGUUGGGUGGACAACAAUCAUAGAUUGGAGUGGACUAGGCUACCGGGCACUUUUCACCCCAACUGGCAGUCCAGAUCUCUCCCAGACUACAGUUUCAUCCUGAACCUUGCCAGCCCCCAGGCUUUGGUGGCUGCCAUGGACGGGCUGACCCGGCCCCUCACAGACCACAGCCUCAGGUGCUGUCUGUGAUCUGCAAACAAGAGGACCUGCUGAAGUCUGCAAAGGGGCACUGCCCACGUCACAGGCCCUACCCACCACCACCACCAGGCUCUGCCUCUGGGUGCUUCCCUCACACCUUCCAGGCUUGGGUCCCUGGUGCCUAUGCCCUUGGGCACUCAAGAGCAUCCAUCCGUCAGGUCUGACAACGGCAAAGCCGGUCCUUCCAUCCAGCCACCAGUUCCCCAACACGGAGCCCAGGACCAGCAGAAGCUCCCAUUCCAGGAUCUGGGAUCAGCUAAGGAGAUGGCCUGAACUCAGCAGCUGGGGAGGUGCCCACCUGCUCGGUGUGCACUCCAGGCCCAAGCAGAGAGGAUCAACGUGAGCUUUUCCAACAUGAGCUUGGCCCCCCUCGUGGCCAGGGGGAGGAGAUGACUGCCCCACCCCUUCUCUGGGACAGCCCCUCCCAGUUCCAGCGUACUUCACUCCCUCCAUACCCAGAGGGGACCAAGACGCCCCAGCUCCUAGAAGCCCCUGGAGGUGGACGCUGGCACGGGGCGCCCUGCGGGGUCUGGGCGCUGCUGAUCCUCCACUCCUCGGGGGCCAGAAGUAGACGUUCCGUCCUCAGCAUCCCCACGGCCCUCGGCCUCCAGCAGCCCUCGUCUUCAGCUCCACACGCCCUUGGCAGCCUCGGGCACAUGAGGGCUGGUCUCAGGGUCUGCCACGGCAGCUUCUCGCUGCUCUCCAACCAGCAGGUGAGGGACGCCCUGCAUCCAUGUCAGCCUGGACAUCAGAAGAGCGACAAGGGCCAGAGCGCCCUGCUGAUCCCCCCGGCCCCUCACGCGGACCUCUCUGGUCCAGACGGCACCCGAAGGGCUUUGACGAGAAGCCCCCCUGGGCCCUCAGGGCAGCAGGCCCCUCCCUGAGAGAAGCAGGAGGACUGCACAGCCUCCACUGAGCACAGGAGGAGACAGAGGCCGCCUCCGCGUCUCUGGGGGGUUCUCUGGGAUCCAUGCUAUACGGGCUGGAACACAGGUUCAACAAAACACCUCUGAAUCUAGGAGCUAGGAAGUGGGGGUUCUGACCAGACAGCCUGUACCUUGUCCCCCUCACCCUGCACUGACCUCUGACCCCUGGCCCCACACUCAGAGUCCUGUGUGGUCUGGUCCAGACACCCUCCCCUGUGAGCACCUCUCCUCCCCACCCCAGGCUCCCUACUGCCUUCCUCCCCCAGGGACCCUCCCAAGUUCCUCCCUAACCCGUCACCCCCAUCCACAAUGGACUCACCUCCAAGGCCGGACUCAGAGCCUCAGGCUCCUGUGCAAGGACAGCCUUCGGGGCCAGGUUGGCCUGCUCAAACCCACGGCGGGGCCACGUCAUGGCCCGUGACAGGCCAGCUCACGCGGUGACUCUCUGAGCCUCAGUCUCCUCCACUGAAAACGGGAUCAGUGACUCUGACCUUGGGAGGGGGUGCUGGGGUUAAAGCAGGGAGAGGAAGACACCCAAAGCGCUUGGACUCAGGAGGUCCCCUGUCUGGGGGAGUCCCCCAGGACAAGGUCUCAGCGUGGGCUCAGUGAACAUGAGGAGCCAUGAUUCUGACCGCCCCAGUCACGGCUGGACUUGGUCACUUAGACUUGAAUGACCCUGAGUGCUGGGACCGCUGCUCAUCUACAAAGCGGGGUGACAUCACUGAGUGCGAGAGGGCUCACUAUUAACAGUAACUGCCCCCCAACUCUCGCCCAUGGGGUGCUGGGCGCCCUUCUCCACGGCUCCCUCUGACCCUCGGCCACCAGCCAGGCCUGCCCGCGGGGGCAGGCCGGGCCUCCGUCUUGGGGGGCUGGUCCGGUCCCCGGGGGGGGGGGAGCCCCCCGGGG
rnacentral:lncRNA from 1 species